AGAGUUUGAUCCUGGCUCAGGACGAACGCUGGCGGCGUGCUUAAUACAUGCAAGUCGAACGACCCCGAGCUUCGGCUCAAUGGGGGAGUGGCGAACGGGUGAGUAACACGUGAGAAACCUGCCUCGGAGAUGGGAAUAGCCCAGGGAAACCUGGAUUAAUGCCCAAUAUGCUGUUUACGCUUCAUGGCGCAAUCAGGAAAUGUUCCGACGCUCCGGGAGGGUCUCGCGGCCUAUCAGCUUGUUGGUGAGGUAACGGCUCACCAAGGCAUCGACGGGUAGCUGGUCUGAGAGGACGAUCAGCCACACUGGGACUGAGACACGGCCCAGACUCCUACGGGAGGCAGCAGUAGGGAAUCUUGCGCAAUGGGCGAAAGCCUGACGCAGCAACGCCGCGUGGGGGAAGAAGGCUCUCGGGUCGUAAACCCCUUUCAGCAGGGACGAAAAUGACGGUACCUGCAGAAGAAGGACCGGCCAACUACGUGCCAGCAGCCGCGGUAAUACGUAGGGUCCAAGCGUUGUCCGGAUUUAUUGGGCGUAAAGAGCUCGUAGGCGGUUUGGUAAGUCGGGUGUGAAAACUCAGGGCUCAACCCUGAGACGCCACUCGAUACUGCCAUGACUAGAGUCCGGUAGGGGAGUGUGGAAUUCCUGGUGUAGCGGUGAAAUGCGCAGAUAUCAGGAGGAACACCAACAGCGAAGGCA
rnacentral:rRNA from 1 species